rnacentral:tRNA from 1 species
UAGAAUGUAGUUUAUAGUAGAACACUUGUUUUGGGGAUGAGAGGUCUUGUUAGUUAAGCUUUCUAA